AAUGUUGCAUGAUACAACAUUUUUACUCAGCCUUCCAAGCUGAAGACGCGGGUUCGAUUCCCGUCAUUCCCUCCA
rnacentral:tRNA from 1 species